rnacentral:misc_RNA from 1 species
GAAAGAACAGAUGUAAUAGAGCUAGAAAAAAUAUAAAAAUUUAGAGUAAAAAUCCACUAUAUUAAUUUGUAUUAACAGAUGAUUGACAAAAUUAAUGGCAGAAAUUGUUAAAGACAAAUCAUAGGUGCCAUUUAUAAAGUUCUACCAACUGCAAACAUCUGUUAAAUUUGAUAUCUUAUGCAUGCCAGUUGAGUUGUAAAGUCCUUGGAACUGUAAAAAACAAUGAAAAUUGACAAACACCACAAUGCAUGGAUCAAAUAUAGUGAACUAUCCACCAAACACUAGGUCAAUAAUUGCUUUCAAAGGCACAUAUGAUAAAUCAGAACAAGAAUGAUGAAACAGCACGUGAGCCAUGUAAGAAACAAAGAUGAGAGAUAAACACAUGAGAGCUAUAUGAUUAAGAUAUUAAUGAAGAUAACCAA